UGCCUUACACAUGCAAGUCGAACGGCAGCGCGGGCUUCGGCCUGGCGGCGAGUGGCGAACGGGUGAGUAAUACAUCGGAACGUGCCCUGUCGUGGGGGAUAACUAGUCGAAAGAUUAGCUAAUACCGCAUACGACCUGAGGGUGAAAGCGGGGGACCGCAAGGCCUCGUGCGAUAGGAGCGGCCGAUGUCUGAUUAGCUAGUUGGUGGGGUAAAGGCCUACCAAGGCGACGAUCAGUAGCUGGUCUGAGAGGACGAUCAGCCACACUGGGACUGAGACACGGCCCAGACUCCUACGGGAGGCAGCAGUGGGGAAUUUUGGACAAUGGGGGCAACCCUGAUCCAGCAAUGCCGCGUGUGUGAAGAAGGCCUUCGGGUUGUAAAGCACUUUUGUCCGGAAAGAAAUGGCCCUGGCUAAUACCCGGGGUCGAUGACGGUACCGGAAGAAUAAGCACCGGCUAACUACGUGCCAGCAGCCGCGGUAAUACGUAGGGUGCGAGCGNUUAUCGGAAUUACUGGGCGUAAAGCGCGCGUAGGUGGUUUGGUAAGAUGGAUGUGAAAUCCCCGGGCUCACCCUGGGAACUGCAUCCAUAACUGCCUGAC
rnacentral:rRNA from 1 species